ensembl:lncRNA
AUGCAAAUGACAGUUGGUGUGUGUGUGGAUGCGAAUAAGUAUUUGUUGUUGUCAUGGUUCUGCCUUCUCUCUGCUUCUGCUGCUAUUUUCCCUUCAUUGUUUGCAGGUGAGCGUGUUGGGGAGCAGCAGCUGCAGCUAAUUGCCAUCAGCCUGGCCAGAGGAUUUAAGGAGCGGUGCUGCCACACCUCAUCGCCGGUUGAUACUCUACUGUUGGCCCUGGAUUCCCUCCAUCCGCAUGAGGUGUGUUUUAUCACAGCGUCGUUCAGCUUCCCUGGCCUCCUGCUCUCCACCGCUCACCUGCCUUCCUGGACCCAGCAUCUUCUCCAGCGACCAUCUCCUCCCAGCAUCAACCUGACUUGCCUCUCCCUCCUGCCCCUCGUCCUGCUCAACUCAGUAAGCCUGUUCCUCUCAUUAUUAUACAUUUCCUGGUUCUCAGUUUCUAAUCACUCUCACCGUUGUUCUUCUUAGAGUCGGAGUUGCCUCGUUUCCUGUCCCGUUUGGAUCAGCGCCCUUAGUUUUUGCUUUGUUUCUUUCUAAAAUAAAGAUAUUUUAUUAUCAUCUCUUACCUUAUUCCUGAGUGAUUCUUCAUGUGAGUUAAGAAAUUACCACCCAUCAUGACAGUUGUGGCAGAAGAAGAAAGGGGGUCUUGAGAGCUAAACAUGUAUGUGGGAUCGAAAUAAACAAGCCAUAAAAGAAAUGGACUAAUCUGAAUUCACUAAUCGGGCUUAGCACAAAAGUCAGCCAGAUGAGAUGCUUCAAAGACCUGCUUUCCGACGCCGGGAGGUUGGCCAGCGGCUCUAACAGCCUUGGGUUCCUGGCUCGUGGCCUUUUUGGGUUAAAUGAUUCUGGCUCCCUGAUAAGUCAACAUCGGUCGUGGAAAGGGGAGGGUGUGGUAAUCCUCGAUCGUGGCUUGACUUUUCGGUUCCUGGUUCCUUCACCUCUGUGGCCUUGAAACGUGGAAUUCAGAUUGCGGGCCCAAAUUAUCCCAAACGGAGCCGAAUCAUCAACUGUUCCAAAUUGCUUUUACUCUUAAUGUGAGAAGUCUACCGAACACGCAGACUUCCGGUUAUACAUAGGAAGUCAAAACAAAACAAACGGAGUUGCUUCUAAGUUUUGCCGUAACUUUUGAAAGCUAAUUACUUGACAACUGUAAAGCGCCAGGUUCUGCUGUUGCUGGGCCAAGAUUGAAAAGCCCAGCAGAGGUUUGCUUAAGGCAUCUUUCUUCUUUGUUCUUACUCUGCGACACGUAUGCAAUGUGGCUUUAUAACCUUCUUGGUCACACCCACUUGUAUUUCACUCAUUAACCACUGGACAUUGGAUGGCACUGAGGCUCUUUCAAAUAAACUCUACCUUCUCAAAGAUGGAAAGUCCAUGAUCACAAUUUAACAGUUAUUCAUAUAAUACCUCAAAAGUAUUACUUUAGCAUCAAAGUAUUACUUUAAACAGGAAAUAAUAAAAUUCAUGUCUUAAAACUGAACAAUUUUACCAUUAGCAUGAAUUUUAACUGGAGAAGCAAAAAUUGGCAGAGGUUUAACAUAAAAGAAAAAACGCAAAACAAGCAGGUUUGUAACUGAUAAGAGUUUAAACAUAUACUUGGAGCACCUUGAAAUUUAAUGGUGAACAAACCUAAAACACCUUCUUUGAUUGUAGAUAAACAGGAAUGCAAGGUUUAUAAAGACUCAGGUCUUGAAGCUCCCAGGAGGACCUAAAAGAAGUUUUACAACUUCCCCUAUCUUGAGAAAAGGGGUCAGUCUGAGGUUGAUGUAAAACAGACUAGUUUUCUGAUAUUACUUGCGCCCCCUGAUUGGCGUAGAAGGGAGGCCAGUCAAAUUGGUGCAAUUUACAAUCCUGGGAGAGAGUCGUAGGAGGUAACCAGAAUGCUGGAACUGCGGGCCAGUUUCAAAUUCCCCUUUUUGUUUUUUUUCUGCUAAAUAAGAGAAGAAAAACUUUGUGAAAAUUCUUAUGCUCUCCUUCGUGUAAAUCCAAACAAAGUUAAUCUGAGGAUAUAAAAUGUGGAUUUCCACUACAAUUGUGACCUUUUAAACUUGUUUAAAGAUAUUUCAAUACAUUAAAUAACAAAUUGAGUAAAGUAAAAUGAAAACAGAAAUAACAUUUAUGGGAAUGUCACAUGAACGUUAGUAUCUCUGUGUCCCUCGUGCUGCAUAGUCCUGGAAACCCAAGCUUCCUUUGAAUUCAUUGUUUUUAGUGGUUGAAGGUUACAGUAAUGGCAUAUUUCCUAUGUGUGUUCACCGGUAAUCAUUUUUGCUUCUUCUUUUUCUCUAAGUGUGUGUGCUGCUGUAACAAGUGAAUUUCCCCACUGUGAAAAUAACAAUAUGUGUUCUAUUCUAUUCUAUUCUAUUCUAUUUAAAGGGUUCUCUGAUAAACAUCUGAUUUGAAUAUGGUUUGGCUAUUAAGAGAUGCUGAGGGAAGAAAUCCAACACAAUACUGAAGAAUCCUAGCUUAUUGCCUUUGUGUGUUUACCUAUAAUUGUGUUUCAUCUUCCUUUUCUUCAAGUGUUCGCUGUAGCAAGUGAAUUCCCCCAAUCUGGGAUUAUUAAGUCUAAUCUAUUCUAACCAUAACUAAAAAAUAAUUCAACCCAUGUCUCUAAAACCAACUAGCAGAGCUCUGUAACAUCGUAAAAAAGUGAGGACCAGAAAAAAUGUCCUCAUUUUGCAACUGUAACGUACCAAAAGGGUACAUUUUCACCAUCUAAUUGACCAGCAUAAUAACCUUUUAUCUACAUUCGUAAACCCACUAUCUAUCAGGCCUCCAAAUCCAGAAGGUUCUGCUCAGUGCUUGUUUACAUACAAGAAGACACAACAUUCAAACAGACAUUCUCACCCAAGGUCCGGUGUCGGUACAAGAUCUGCUCGGGUGCAAAAUCGGCUCGGGGUCCGUCGACUGCCGGUGACGUCAGAGUAGUUGAUUGGCUGAACAUGAACCUUACGGAAUUACGUAAUCACGUUACGUCGUUAUCACGUUACGUUGGUCCAGGCAAAUUUUUCUGUUGGAAAGAUGGACAACUUUUACAAAGAAAUCCAUCAUUACCUCUUUAAAAAUACACUUUUAGCAUAGAGCUGCAUGUAUAUUAGGGCUGAACGAUUAACUGCAUAUGCAAUUAAAUUGCGAUGUGACAAAAGGAGAUUUUCUAAUCGCAAAGGCUGCAAUUUGGCAGCGAGUGGUUAGCGCAA